rfam:Myotis lucifugus cont2.19290, whole genome shotgun sequence.
GGCGGUUCUUGGGUGACGCACUGCACCCCGGAAAUGGGCUCCCUCCUCUCUGGUUCUGGGUGCGUUACCCGAGAACUGCA